UUUUAGAAAAAAAAAAACGUAACAAGGUUUCCGUAGGUGAACCUGCGGAAGGAUCAUUAAUGAAAUAAACUUGGUCUAGGCUGUUGCUGGCUCCUCGGAGCAAUGUGCACGUCUAUUCCGACUUUACACCCACCCCACCUGUGCAUUUUGUGUAGAUCUGAACAAAUGUCGAGGUAAAAACUCGGUCUGAGGAAUUGCCGUGCAAUGUGUUUUGCCGGCUUCUCCUUAACACUUCAGAUCUAUGUUUCCAAUACACUCUAUGUCAAACAUUAUUGAAAUAAUAUUGCUAGGCCAUAUGUAUGCCUAUAAUAUAUAUAUAACAACUUUCAACAACGGAUCUCUUGGCUCUCGCAUCGAUGAAGAACGCAGCGAAAUGCGAUAAGUAAUGUGAAUUGCAGAAUUCAGUGAAUCAUCGAAUCUUUGAACGCACCUUGCGCUCCUUGGUAUUCCGAGGAGCAUGCCUGUUUGAGUAUCAUGAAAUUCUCAACCUUUCUAAGCUUUUCGUAAAAGCUGAGUUAGGCUUGGAUUCUGGGAGUGUGUGCUGGCCUCUAACAAGUCAGCUCUCCUUAAAUUUAUUAGCAAGAUUUGAUAGCUAAAAUCACUAAUUGAUAUGAUAACUAUCUAUAUCAUUAGUGGAAAUAGCGUUCCUUCCCAUUUGGGAAAGGAAAAAAAAAAUAAUAAUCUGGCUUCCUAAUCGUCUUUCUAGACAAUUUCUCGAAUCAUUUGGUCUCAAAUCAGGUAGGACUACCCGCUGAACUUAAGCAUAUCUA
rnacentral:rRNA from 1 species